AACGAACGCUGGCGGCAGGCUUAACACAUGCAAGUCGAGCGCCCCGCAAGGGGAGCGGCAGACGGGUGAGUAACGCGUGGGAAUCUACCCAUCCCUACGGAAUAGCUCCGGGAAACUGGAAUUAAUACCGUAUACGCCCUACGGGGGAAAGAUUUAUCGGGGAUGGAUGAGCCCGCGUUGGAUUAGCUAGUUGGUGGGGUAAAGGCCUACCAAGGCGACGAUCCAUAGCUGGUCUGAGAGGAUGAUCAGCCACAUUGGGACUGAGACACGGCCCAAACUCCUACGGGAGGCAGCAGUGGGGAAUAUUGGACAAUGGGGGCAACCUUGAUCCAGCCAUGCCGCGUGAGUGAUGAAGGCCUUAGGGUUGUAAAGCUCUUUCACCGGGGAAGAUAAUGACGGUACCCGGAGAAGAAGCCCCGGCUAACUUCGUGCCAGCCGCCGCAGUAACAC
rnacentral:rRNA from 1 species